GGGAAGGUUGCUCAGUGGUAGAGUGCGUGCUUUGCAUGCAUGAGGCCCUGGGUUCGAUUCCUCAGCACCA
rnacentral:tRNA from 1 species